UUGGUGUUCUGAAGGCUUCUUGUGCAUUUAUGGCCAUCUCUUUCUUUAGGCCUUGGAGAGACAGAUGUCCUGUAUAUACUACUAUGUAGGUUAUAAGGAACAGAGGAGAGAGAUCAAAACCAACAGAAUGUGACAUCUUUCAAGGUCCACCCGGAUCCAACCUUCAUAAGUUUCCACUAGUUGGGAGAGACUACGAGUGUUUUUGGUAGAAUGAAGACAUUGGUGUCCUGUUGAGUUGCCUCACACUGCACAGGGAGCUCCGUGCUCACACUGCACAUGGAGCUCCGUGGAUGCUGGCCUCCUGAGUGUUCUCCCAUGUAGGGAUGGGCUUUCUCACAACGCAGCUGCCUUUGGGCCACCCAU